rnacentral:lncRNA from 1 species
CUCAUUUCGAAUAUUUCAAAUUCAUUAACAUUAGAACAAGGUUAAGAACAAAUUCACGUGCGCAUGCAUGUGUUGCAAAUUAGGCAAAAAUUGUUCAUGAGAAGUUCUCCUGUGCGUAUAAAGAUGAAUAAUCAAUGCAAUUGUUAGUGAGGGAGACCCAGUGAUUUUAAGGUUAUUAUAAAACCAAACACGCCGACUCAAGCCCUUAUUUUUAUUGCGUAUUUACGAUUUCACACUGCUGUCAGAUAUCCAAAUGUGGGUAAAUUAGUGGGACAGUGUAUAAUGACUUUCAUGAGGGUUUUGUUUAAGGUCAGGACCCUUGUGUGUGUUGACACAGCUGCCAUGGAGGCACUGCAGAAGAAAGACGUGGGGAAGUUUAUGUAAAGCCAGCCGAGGGUGCAGGGUCAGGGCCAAUCAUGGCAUGUAUACAUUUGUGCAUUAAAUGCAAAUUCUGGCAUUUUAGCUCCUUCACGACAGACAUAUUGGCAUCCUGGAUUUAGUAUUUCUGUUGCAUUAGCAAAGUAGGGUGAAUAAGGUUAUGUUUUUGUUAGGUGUGCCAGACCACUUGAUGGGGGUAGGGCGGUUGCUACCUGCAUUUCAAGGCUCUUUUGUCCACAUUCAUCUCUCAACAUGGCCCCUCAGUGCUGUCACUGGAGCGGCGCCUGUCUGUAGCGUUACAAACUAAAGAAGGGAAGUUAGGAUUGCGUGCUCAUCAGUUCUUGAGCUCAACCACUUGCGACCUUUGUCCUUCACAGACUUCCUGUAGGUGUGUGUAUUAGAAUAUCUAGUCUCUGAAAUGCAAAAUAACCACAAAGUGGGUCAUGCAUUAGAUGGAACUAAGAAUUUUCUUUGCCAACUCCUUGUUUGCACACCAAAAUGUUACAAAGGGAGUUACAAAAGAGUUUCGUUUUACUUUGCAUUGCUGUUAGAUCAUUUAGUGCUCUGGAUUCCAAAUUCUAAUCACACAAUAUUUGCCUGUAGCCAUCCAGACUCCAUCAAAUCAAUCUUAACAGCAGCCCGUCCAGCGAUCUAUUCAGAUAUAUCAAGAAUCUAUGAGACACACUGUAAUUAUCUGUUAAUUUUAAACCUUAUGAUGCUCGACUGCUCAAUCGUCUUCUCCGCUCCACCCAUGGAGCUGGAUUAGCAUCUAGAUGUCACAAAAUGAUGGGGCUCACCUACGGGAAAUGGUCCAUGAAGACACAAGCUGAUAUGUCCUGUAUCUACUGAUCACUCUGGCUCGAUUGACAUUUCAGUCCCUUUGUCUGCGACUGUCUACGAUGAAACGGAAGGGAAAUUUCUAAACUUGGCAGUGAUGACAUUUGGAUGAAUGGAGCUGGCUUUGCAUCAGGUGACUGGAAAUAUUCAAUCGUUUCACAGCACUGCACUUUUAGUGCUGUCCACUGCAACUAAAGCAAAAUUUAGUUUUAAAAUGACAGACAGUAUUAAUAAUAAAUAUUUGUUUUUUACUUUUUUUUCUUUUAUUCCACAAUAUUCUGCAGUAAGUACAUCUUAUAUUGGUAAUGAGACUUUCAAAGCCCUACUGCCUUUUCAGUGUCAGUUGAACUUGCUUUGAACCUCUACCCUCUUAAGGAAAAAGCAAUAUCAUGUUUAUCUGUGUAAUCUCGGUGUUCACACUUUGUGUACGUGUGAGUUUAACACACUCCCAGUGUUUUCACCUUUUGCUGAAUUCACUGUACGUUGCUUGGAGAUACUGCUGUGUCAUGUGGCCACUGAUAGAUGGUGACGAGAAAUGGGAGAUAGCCAAUGUCAGAUGUGACCUAAAUGUUAAACAUUACAUAUAUUAAAUCAAUGUUUUGGGUCAAUUCUGUUUAUUCCUUGCUCCUUACUUUUGACAGGAAUUAAAACUAGGCUGUGAGGUAUAGAAGUACAAUGCGUUCAAUGGACUGUACUCUUGUUGAACAACAUACCGACUGUUCGGCUAAUGAACCGUCUUUCUGAGGAAAAAAAAAUUAAAUUAAGCAAUCUAGGACCUUUAUACAGUGCGUGCCAUUUUCAAGCCAAGUUUUCAUCAGCGUCAAAAUCAGUAUGGCGUCUAACCUGAUUACAAUCUUUUUACUCAAGACUUUAAAAGAACAUCCUGGAAACUCUUUUCGAUAUAAUUAAAGUGAAUGAGAACUGGGACUGUGAUGAUGUUCUUAUUUAGAAUGUCCUUCAAAAUUCCUCCUUUUGUGUUCCACAGAAUAAAACCCAUAGCUACCGUUUUGGAACGACACGAUGGUGAGCAAAAUGAUAACAGUUACAGAAUUGCCCAUUUUUAGCGAACUAUCCCUUUAAAUGUCUUCAGUAGUAUUUGUUUGCUGUAUCUCAAUUGUGUUAUUAUUCCCCUCAGAGACGUUGUUUUAUGCAUAUACUUUGCGUUGCAUUCACAUAAUUGUCAUCU